rnacentral:rRNA from 1 species
AUUGAACGCUGGCGGCAUGCCUUACACAUGCAAGUCGAACGGUAACAGGUCAAGCUGACGAGUGGCGAACGGGUGAGUAAUAUAUCGGAACGUGCCCAGUCGUGGGGGAUAACGUAGCGAAAGCUGCGCUAAUACCGCAUACGAUCUCUGGAUGAAAGCGGGGGACUCGCAAGAGCCUCGCGCGAUUGGAGCGGCCGAUAUCAGAUUAGGUAGUUGGUGGGGUAAAAGCCCACCAAGCCGACGAUCUGUAGCUGGUCUGAGAGGACGACCAGCCACACUGGGACUGAGACACGGCCCAGACUCCUGCGGGAGGCAGCAGUGGGGAAUUUUGGACAAUGGGCGCAAGCCUGAUCCAGCCAUGCCGCGUGCAGGACGAAGGCCUUCGGGUUGUAAACUGCUUUUGUACGGAACGAAACGGCUCUCUCUAAUACGGGGGGCUAAUGACGGUACCGUAAGAAUAAGCACCGGCUAACUACGUGCCAGCAGCCGCCGCGG